CUUGAUGGUAGUGUAUUGGACUACCAUGGCUAUCACGGGUAACGGAGAAUUAGGGUUCGAUUCCGGAGAGGGAGCCUGAGAAAUGGCUACCACAUCUAAGGAAGGCAGCAGGCGCGUAAAUUACCCAAUCCUGAUUCAGGGAGGUAGUGACAAGAAAUAACAACCUGGGAGCUUUUAGCUCUACGGGAUUGCAAUGAGAACAAUUUAGAUCACUUAGCGAGGAACAAUUGGAGGGCAAGUCUGGUGCCAGCAGCCGCGGUAAUUCCAGCUCCAAUAGCGUAUAUUAAAGUUGUUGCAGUUAAAAAGCUCGUAGUUGAAUGUCUGAUCAUUGGUUGUCUUGGCUUCGGUCGACCAAUCAGUGGUCAUCCGCAUACGAAACUAGCUCGGCCUUUACUGGUUCGUCUAGGGGAGUGUGCAUUUUACUUUGAAAAAAUUAGAGUGUUUCAGGCAGGCAAUGGCUUGAAUACAUUAGCAUGGAAUAAUGGAAUAGGACAUAAGUCAAUUUUAUUGGUUAUUUGACUUUAGUAAUGAUUAAUAGGGACAGUUGGGGGCAUUAGUAUUUAAUUGUCAGAGGUGAAAUUCUUGGAUUUAUUAAAGACUAACUUAUGCGAAAGCAUUCGCCAAGGAUGUUUUCAUUAAUCAAGAACGAAAGUUAGGGGAUCAAAGACGAUUAGAUACCGU
rnacentral:rRNA from 1 species